rnacentral:lncRNA from 1 species
UAUUAAUAAUUUAUUUGUUUUUAUGUCUGGUGCUUCCAAUGUCGUUCACAAACAUUCGACUGUGAAAAUUCCGUGGAAAACUUCGAUCUGGUGUUCCUAACAAUAUUAGUUUAUCAGCAGUUUUCGUCAUCAAAUGAUCAAGUAUUUAGUUUCCAUUUGUCGGUUUUCCAAUUUUAUAAAUUAAACUAAAAAAUCCAACUGAAUUUUGAUUAUACUAACAGGCGAGUUGUAUUUUAGAGGCUCGGUUGGAAAGUUUUGAUACAUCUUCCAUAUGCUCCAGACCUGGCGCCAAGCGAUUUCCAGUUUUUUCUUGCAUUGCAAAACUUAUUUAGCUAUAAGGCAUUGGAAUCAAGGAAAAAUUGUAAAAAUCGAUCACAGAAAUGCACCGUUUUUUAAAGAUUGAAAAAAUCGAUUACAGAAGGGACUGUUUUCUUUUAGUUUUCCUUUUUACCAAUCGCCUAUUUUCUUGGUCCCAUAUUUGGCUUCCAAUGCCUUAUGAAAUUUCUAAGAAAGAAAAUCUAGCAAUAAUUUGACGGUUGACUAUUAACCUAAGAACGUUUCACAGAUGUCCUGGAAACAACCCGUCUAUAAUCCCAGUGAUAUCCCAAAUAACCUUUACGGGAUCAUCCCAUACAUGACCCGAACAGGCCCAAAAGUGUGUCCCAUGGACGUUCCGCGUAGAUGUCCUGUAAUGCCGUCCGUGGGACAUCUCAGGGACCGAGGAGUUGGGAUGGAAAGUUUUGAUACACCCACCACAUAGUCCGGACCUGGCGCCAAGCGAUUAUCAUGUUUUUUUGCAUUGCAAAACUUCUUUAGUGAUAAGACAUUGCCAUCAACUGAAGAUUGUGGAAAUCGGUUGCAAAAGCAAACUCGGGCAACCCGAAACAUAUGUUUGUACAGGUACAAAUAAUAUGGAUUUUCUCUCCAACCUGCAUGGCUAUUAUAAUAUUGAUUAAUGCUCUGUAAAAAGUCAGAAAAAACCAGCUCGAUUAAAAAAACUUUAAUUGCUAACCAAAUAUGAAACACUUUCUAGUCCAUCUUACAUCCA